AGUGAUGUAGCGUAGCCCGGUAUCGCGCCUGCUUUGGGAGCAGGAGGUCGUAGGUUCUCCCGAAACUUCGGGACUGCCAUCCCGACAA
rnacentral:tRNA from 1 species